rnacentral:rRNA from 1 species
GGAUGCCUUAGUAACGGCGAGUGAAGCGGCAAAAGCUCAAAUUUGAAAUCUGGCACCUUCGGUGUCCGAGUUGUAAUUUGAAGAAGGUAACUUUGGAGUUGGCUCUUGUCUAUGUUCCUUGGAACAGGACGUCACAGAGGGUGAGAAUCCCGUGCGAUGAGAUGCCCAAUUCUAUGUAAAGUGCUUUCGAAGAGUCGAGUUGUUUGGGAAUGCAGCUCUAAGUGGGUGGUAAAUUCCAUCUAAAGCUAAAUAUUGGCGAGAGACCGAUAGCGAACAAGUACAGUGAUGGAAAGAUGAAAAGAACUUUGAAAAGAGAGUGAAAAAGUACGUGAAAUUGUUGAAAGGGAAGGGCUUGAGAUCAGACUUGGUAUUUUGCGAUCCUUUCCUUCUUGGUUGGGUUCCUCGCAGCUUACUGGGCCAGCAUCGGUUUGGAUGGUAGGAUAAUGACUAAGGAAUGUGGCUCUACUUCGGUGGAGUGUUAUAGCCUUGGUUGAUACUGCCUGUCUAGACCGAGGACUGCGUCUUUUGACUAGGAUGUUGGCAUAAUGAUC